GCUAGCUAGUUCGAGAUUCUAGCUACAUACACACUAAAACGUUAGCUAUCCCAGUUAGCUUUCAAUGAAAACUCACCUUGAUAUAGAAACGUCCAUUCAAUGCACCUCGCAGAAAAUGUAUUAUUAAGCUACAUAAGCAGGCUAAAUGCUUGCUUGCAAACACAAUCACUUCACACGUUCAGCUAGCUAGCAACUUUCUCCUGCACGAGCGUGAGACAAGACAUGUCAGGCAUCAAGAGGGAGAUUGACGAGAAGGACCCAGAUUAUGAGGACAUCUCACUGGUUCAGGAGAACAAGCGACACAGUAGUGAAACAAAAUGACUUGCCAGUGAGGGAAGCUACAGUGUAGAAGAUUGAGGCCGUCAUCAAAGAUCAGUUCUCUUUGGAGAUGAAGAACAAAGAACAUGAGAUGGAAGUGAUUGGACAGGUUACUGUUGACCUCAGCUACAGAAUGAGUAUCA